AUUAAAAUUUUAAGUCAAAUCUGCUCAAUGAAUAAAUUUAAAUAGCUGCAGUAUAAAUAACUGUACAAAGGUAGCAUAAUAAUUAGUUUUUUAAUUAAAAACUAGAAUGAAAGAUUUAAUGAAAUAUCAACUUUAUUAAAUUAAUAAAACUUAUUUUUUUUUUAAGUAAAAAAAUUUAAAUAAUUUUUAAAAGACGAGAAGACCCUUUAGAAUUUUUAAUUUUAUAAAUUAUUUAAAUUUAUUUUAUUAUUUUAAUUGGGGAAAUUUUUUAAAUUUUAAAAAUUUUAAUUAAAUAAACAAAAUUUUUUGUAUAAAUUAUAUUUUUUAAAAAAAAAUAAAUUAAAUUACCUUAGGGAUAACAGCAUAAUUUUUUUUUAAAGUACAAAUUUAUAAAAAAGUUUAU
rnacentral:rRNA from 1 species